CAUUGAACGCAGAUUGUACGACGAGGCGUUUUGCCUGGAAUGAAAAACAGUUUGAACGUGAAGACCUACUCAAAGCCUGGGAUAUUGUACUCAAAAUUCUUCAUUUGUGCCUUUUGAAAGCAAAGUAGAGGCAACUUUUUUCCUCCGAGUGACUGCCCAAGAAGCUCAAGGCGUCUUACUGGACUUCCCGAACAAAAUACACACAGCCCGAGUUGUGUUCCGACUGAAAAAAAAACCCACUUGGAGGAACUCGCUGUUCUUGUUGUUCAGAUUUGCCAAUGACAUAACCAAGGAUUUGCAGACUCUUCCUGGGGUCGAGUCGGCCUGCUCCAACGCUGCUGGAUUUUUGUGGUAACAUUGUGAAAUUGAAAGGAAGCAGAUUUGCCAGUCACCAUGCCAGCCCUCUCCACCAGAGCCGGCAGUGAGAUAGGUCUGUAUGAGCUGUUGUCUGUACUGCCGUCUCAGCUGCAGCCUCAUGUUGAAGGCGCAGAUGACCGCUCUUUUCUACACGCUAUGUUUGGGGAGAGGAGUCUACAUUCAUUG